CCCGCACAAGCGGCGGAGCAUGUGGAUUAAUUCGAUGCAACGCGAAGAACCUUACCUGGGCUUGACAUACACCGGAUCGGGCUAGAGAUAGUCUUUCCCUUGUGGCUGGUGUACAGGUGGUGCAUGGUUGUCGUCAGCUCGUGUCGUGAGAUGUUGGGUUAAGUCCCGCAACGAGCGCAACCCUUGUCUUAUGUUGCCAGCACGUGAUGGUGGGGACUCAUGAGAGACUGCCGGGGUUAACUCGGAGGAAGGUGGGGAUGACGUCAAAUCAUCAUGCCCCUUAUGUCCAGGGCUUCACACAUGCUACAAUGGUCGGUACAACGCGUGUGCGACACUGUGAGGUGAAGCUAAUCGCUCUAAAGCCGGUCGUAGUUCGGAUUGGGGUCUGCAACUCGACCCCAUGAAGUCGGAGUCGCUAGUAAUCGCAGAUCAGCAACGCUGCGGUGAAUACGUUCCCGGGCCUU
rnacentral:rRNA from 1 species